GGUAGAACUUAUUAGAUACCAUUGACCCCAGUAUCUAAUAUCUAAUAAGUUUUUAUACC
rnacentral:tRNA from 1 species